rnacentral:rRNA from 1 species
GACGAACGCUGGCGGCGUGCUUAACACAUGCAAGUCGAACGGUAAGGCCCUUCGGGGUACACGAGUGGCGAACGGGUGAGUAACACGUGGGUGAUCUGCCCUGCACUCCGGGAUAAGCCUGGGAAACUGGGCCUAAUACGGGAUAGUACUCCUGGUUCAAUGUUUGGGGGUGGAAAGCUUUUGCGGUGUGGGAUGGGCCCGCGGCUUAUCGGCUUGUUGGUGGGGUAAUGGCCUGACAAGGGGCCGACGGGUAGCCGUCCUGGGAGGGUGACCGGUCGCACUGGGAGUGAGAUACGGCCGAGACUCCUACGGGAGGCAGCAGUGGGGAAUAUUGCACAAUGGGCGCAAGCCUGAUGCAGCGACGCCGCGUGAGGGAUGACGGCCUUCGGGUUGUAAACGUCUUUCAGCUAUGACGAAGCGCAAGUGACGGUAGUAGCAGAAGAAGGACCGGCCAACUACGUGCCAGCAGCCGCAGUAA